UGGGUGGCUGAUGAACCCCACCUGCUGCACCUGGGAAAAGAGCUGGAACUUAUUAGCUGAUCCUCAUAAAAAAAAGGCAGUAGGAAAGGGAGGGGAGACUGAAAUACUAUCAGAAAGCUGGGGAUGGUUAGUGGUUAUGUGCCUAAUGCACUGCUACUAGAGUAACUGCAGUGUGGAAUUGUUCCAGAAACCAAAUGGACAAAAGGGAGACUCUGUGAGAUCCUUUAAUGUUGAAGCUCUAAGGUCCCAAGUGUAUACUUGGAUCUCCAAAACCUCUUCUUAGAAUUCUUCCUUUUGGAUCUGACUGCAUAGAAAACUGAAAGCUGUUUAGUCUGAUCCACCCCAACCGAAAAUCAGAAUCUUAACAAUUCCACUGAAGAGUACCCAACUAAAGAGUCAGCCUAAACUCUGGAGGCCUGAUUCAUCACUGUUAAUCCACUUUUACAACUCCACUGAUUUCAAUAGUGUUCAAACGGCAUGAAACUGGAACAGGAACAGUGAAUAAAGCCGUAGGUCAUGUUCCCACUGACAUCAGUCCCCAAAACAAGUCUUUGCUUGUAUUUCUUAAAGCAAAAUUUAACUCGUACUGUUCAGCGUAAUCAGCCAUGUAUUAUGUUAUGAAGGCUCGUGAAGCAAUGAUCCCCUGACACUUCCUUGUUUUGUGGUUGUCCUAAUAAAAAUAAAUUCCUACUUCCCAUCCCUGCUCUGCUUUUGUU